rnacentral:misc_RNA from 1 species
AAGUCGUAACAAGGUCUCCGUAGGUGAACCUGCGGAGGGAUCAUUACUGAAUGGCUUUGGCCUUCAACCUUCAAACCUGUGGAAGCGAACCGUGCUUCGGGGCUCUGGCCCCGCAUCUAUGCAGUAAAGUGUUUGUCUGAUUAAAAGCAAGAAUUAAAACUUUCAACAAAGGAUCUCUUGGCUCUC